AGAGCUGACGGAAUUCGAGCUCCCUUUCCAGCGGCAGUUCGUGCACGUACGCCGCGCAUCGGCUGAGUGCAUCUACAUGCGCCAUUCGUGUGCCCGGUCGCGCUAUUUGUGGCCUGACUGAAAUACGCAACCGGACACCAUCUACCGUCGUUUUGCUUCUGUAGCAGUAUUGCGCCCAGGCCCAGACUGCUUGCAUCAGUGUGCAGUUCCGUGUCCAGGGCCGGGUUAUAAAGUGCUAAUACCGGCGCUGAGGGAUUACCCGCGCGCAAUACGGUGAGACGCUUGGACGGAUAAUUCCCCGCUGCAAAAGAUCAUCUGUGAUCUCCCUUAUCUGAAGACGUUCGGCAUAUGCGAAGCGUCGCGGCGCAAACGCAUAGAUCGAAGGAUCACAUGCUCGUGAUUUUAGUCGUCGGCUGGGACAGCUCUAAUCUGUCGUCUGCUGGUUCUGCGACGAUUGCCACGACGUCAUCGCUCGAUGCCGCAGACGAAACAGCUGCUGCUGUAUAGCUCGUCGCGUGACGUGCUUGCAGCGUCGGCUUCCCGUCGCCUUGCUCUUAAGCACGAGGCAAUCGAAUUGACGGUGACCCUUCGCUUUGCAAUAAAAGCAGGGCUAGCCAAGACCCUAUCACAUCUCCCGUUUGGAUUUCAUACCAUUGCCGUGCGAACUUCGUCAAUUUACUGGACGCGGCCAGCAAUGUAAUCCCGUCCGACGCGCCGUGAAUGACGGCAACUUGGUCGACCCGUCUCGACCACACGGCAACGUUUUCGUCCUCACCGCCACUAAAUUCAGGUAUUUGAGGGGCCAACCAACUGACUGCAUUUCCCGCCGGUAACGUAUGCGCACUAAUAUUCAUUUGUCCGUUAAUCGCUGAAUUAAGAUUGUUCGACACAUUACCUUCAUUGCGGCUUAAUG